rnacentral:misc_RNA from 1 species
GAAUUCCCAAGUUUUCCUUUUGCUUUCGAGUCGCUCACUUUUGUUUCAACACCAUUUGGGUACAAAAUCUUCGUGUUAUGUUCCAAGUUUUCAUCAAUUUCAGCUUUCAUUUACGAUUCAAGAUUCAAUUCUUGGCAAAAAUUUGAUAAUCUUGAGCCAAUUCUAAGCGACAAUUGUCAUCAGGAAGGUGUGUUCUUUAAUGGGUCAUUGUACUUCACCACUCCAGAGCCAUUUUCAAUAGUGUGCCUUGAUAUGGAGAUUGGAAAGUGGAAGAGAUUUAGCAACGAAUUCCCAGAAGAACUGACUUUUGUUAGGCUGGUGAGUGACGGAAAAGGGAAUCUGUAUUUGAUUGGUGGAAUUGGCAGAAAUGGGAUUUCAAAGAUGAUGAAAUUGUGGGAAUUGGGUGAUGGUGGGAAUU